GACGAACGCUGGCGGCGUGCCUAAUACAUGCAAGUAGAACGCUGAAACUUGGUGCUUGCACCGAGCGGAUGAGUUGCGAACGGGUGAGUAACGCGUAGGUAACCUGCCUGGUAGCGGGGGAUAACUAUUGGAAACGAUAGCUAAUACCGCAUAAGAGUAGAUGUUGCAUGACAUUUGCUUAAAAGGUGCAAUUGCACCACUACCAGAUGGACCUGCGUUGUAUUAGCUAGUUGGUGGGGUAACGGCUCACCAAGGCGACGAUACAUAGCCGACAUGAGAGGGUGAUCGGCCACACUGGGAGUGAGACACGGCCCAGUGUCCUACGGGAGGCAGCAGUAGGGAAUCUUCGGCAAUGGACGGAAGUCUGACCGAGCAACGCCGCGUGAGUGAAGAAGGUCUUCGGAUCGUAAAGCUCUGUUGUAAGAGAAGAACGAGUGUGCGAGUGGAAAGUUCCCACUGUGACGGUAUCUUACCAGAAAGGGACGGCUAACUACGUG
rnacentral:rRNA from 1 species